rnacentral:rRNA from 1 species
UGGGGAAUAUUGGACAAUGGGCGCAAGCCUGAUCCAGCCAUGCCGCGUGUGUGAUGAAGGCCUUAGGGUUGUAAAGCACUUUCACCGGAGAAGAUAAUGACGGUAUCCGGAGAAGAAGCCCCGGCUAACUUCGUGCCAGCAGCCGCGGUAAUACGAAGGGGGCUAGCGUUGUUCGGAAUUACUGGGCGUAAAGCGCACGUAGGCGGAUAUUUAAGUCAGGGGUGAAAUCCCAGAGCUCAACUCUGGAACUGCCUUUGAUACUGGGUAUCUUGAGUAUGGAAGAGGUAAGUGGAAUUGCGAGUGUAGAGGUGAAAUUCGUAGAUAUUCGCAGGAACACCAGUGGCGAAGGCGGCUUACUGGUCCAUAACUGACGCUGAGGUGCGAAAGCGUGGGGAGCAAACAGG